AAACACAACCAGAUGAUUUCACUAAUUCUGAUGACUUCCUUGGCCAAAAAGAAAAGCACUUCCGAUCCUGUGUGAGAACCUGGAAGGUGCCUGGAGAUCCACCGUUCCUGAGUCCACAAGGAAAGGCUAGACAUGCUGGUUAUGACUGUGGAAAGGAAUUAGCAGCAGCAGCAGGAGCGGUGGGUAAAUCACCUUAGAGACCAGAGAGAGGUGCAGCGAGCACAAGGUGCUGGAAACCAAGCCACCCCUGUGAGAGCUACGGCUGAGCCAGCUCUCAAGCCCCUGCCCUUUUACCUGCUGCUACCAGAGGGCUCGGCCUACAUUCAAGGUCAUUCAGGAGGUAUGAUGUUGGUGCUGGCAGAAGCCCCUGGCACACCUUCCUGUGAUGGUCUCUUGCAUGAUGAAAGGGUCAGCAAGAGGCUCAGCAGGUAAGACCAAGCCCCAUGACCCAAGUUCGAUUCCCAGGACCCAAAUGAUGGAAGGAGAGAACAAACUCCUGCAAGUUACCCUGAGAUCAUU